rnacentral:rRNA from 1 species
CACCGAAGUCAAGCAUCAUUGGGCGCGGUCAGUACUUGGGAGGGUGACCACCUGGGAACACCGCGUGCCGUU